UACGUAGGGUGCAAGCGUUAAUCGGAAUUACUGGGCGUAAAGCGUGCGCAGGCGGUUAUGUAAGACAGUUGUGAAAUCCCCGGGCUCAACCUGGGAACUGCAUCUGUGACUGCAUAGCUAGAGUACGGUAGAGGGGGAUGGAAUUCCGCGUGUAGCAGUGAAAUGCGUAGAUAUGCGGAGGAACACCGAUGGCGAAGGCAAUCCCCUGGACCUGUACUGACGCUCAUGCACGAAAGC
rnacentral:rRNA from 1 species